rnacentral:rRNA from 1 species
AAAUUGAAGAGUUUGAUCAUGGCUCAGAUUGAACGCUGGCGGCAGGCCUAACACAUGCAAGUCGAACGGUAACAGAAAGCAGCUUGCUGCUUUGCUGACGAGUGGCGGACGGGUGAGUAAUGUCUGGGAAACUGCCUGAUGGAGGGGGAUAACUACUGGAAACGGUAGCUAAUACCGCAUAAUGUCGCAAGACCAAAGAGGGGGACCUUCGGGCCUCUUGCCAUCGGAUGUGCCCAGAUGGGAUUAGCUAGUAGGUGGGGUAAAGGCUCACCUAGGCGACGAUCCCUAGCUGGUCUGAGAGGAUGACCAGCCACACUGGAACUGAGACACGGUCCAGACUCCUACGGGAGGCAGCAGUGGGGAAUAUUGCACAAUGGGCGCAAGCCUGAUGCAGCCAUGCCGCGUGUAUGAAGAAGGCCUUCGGGUUGUAAAGUACUUUCAGCGGGGAGGAAGGGAGUAAAGUUAAUACCUUUGCUCAUUGACGUUACCCGCAGAAGAAGCACCGGCUAACUCCGUGCCAGCAGCCGCGGUAAUACGGAGGGUGCAAGCGUUAAUCGGAAUUACUGGGCGUAAAGCGCACGCAGGCGGUUUGUUAAGUCAGAUGUGAAAUCCCCGGGCUCAACCUGGGAACUGCAUCUGAUACUGGCAAGCUUGAGUCUCGUAGAGGGGGGUAGAAUUCCAGGUGUAGCGGUGAAAUGCGUAGAGAUCUGGAGGAAUACCGGUGGCGAAGGCGGCCCCCUGGACGAAGACUGACGCUCAGGUGCGAAAGCGUGGGGAGCAAACAGGAUUAGAUACCCUGGUAGUCCACGCCGUAAACGAUGUCGACUUGGAGGUUGUGCCCUUGAGGCGUGGCUUCCGGAGCUAACGCGUUAAGUCGACCGCCUGGGGAGUACGGCCGCAAGGUUAAAACUCAAAUGAAUUGACGGGGGCCCGCACAAGCGGUGGAGCAUGUGGUUUAAUUCGAUGCAACGCGAAGAACCUUACCUGGUCUUGACAUCCACGGAAGUUUUCAGAGAUGAGAAUGUGCCUUCGGGAACCGUGAGACAGGUGCUGCAUGGCUGUCGUCAGCUCGUGUUGUGAAAUGUUGGGUUAAGUCCCGCAACGAGCGCAACCCUUAUCCUUUGUUGCCAGCGGUCCGGCCGGGAACUCAAAGGAGACUGCCAGUGAUAAACUGGAGGAAGGUGGGGAUGACGUCAAGUCAUCAUGGCCCUUACGACCAGGGCUACACACGUGCUACAAUGGCGCAUACAAAGAGAAGCGACCUCGCGAGAGCAAGCGGACCUCAUAAAGUGCGUCGUAGUCCGGAUUGGAGUCUGCAACUCGACUCCAUGAAGUCGGAAUCGCUAGUAAUCGUGGAUCAGAAUGCCACGGUGAAUACGUUCCCGGGCCUUGUACACACCGCCCGUCACACCAUGGGAGUGGGUUGCAAAAGAAGUAGGUAGCUUAACCUUCGGGAGGGCGCUUACCACUUUGUGAUUCAUGACUGGGGUGAAGUCGUAACAAGGUAACCGUAGGGGAACCUGCGGUUGGAUCACCUCCUUACCUUAAAGAAGC